UACGAAGGGUGCAAGCGUUACUCGGAAUUACUGGGCGUAAAGCGUGCGUAGGUGGUUUGUUAAGUCUGUCGUGAAAUCCCCGGGCUCAACCUGGGAAUGGCGAUGGAUACUGGCAAGCUAGAGUGAGGUAGAGGAGAGUGGAAUUCCCGGUGUAGCAGUGAAAUGCGUAGAGAUCGGGAGGAACAUCAGUUGCGAAGGCGGCUCUCUGGACCAUCACUGACACUGAGGCACGAAAGCGUGGGGAGCAAACAGGAUUAGAUACCCUGGUAGUCCACGCCCUAAACGAUGCGAACUGGACGUUGGGCUCAAUUAGGAGCUCAGUGUCGAAGCUAACGCGUUAAGUUCGCCGCCUGGGGAGUACGGUCGCAAGACUG
rnacentral:rRNA from 1 species